rnacentral:rRNA from 1 species
UGAAACCAGGGUUAGAUACCCUGUUACUUUUUUUAAAAAACCUUGGAUUAAUAAUAAUAAUGAAAUUUAACGGAUUUGGCGGCAAGAUAGCUUUUUAGAGGAACCUGCCCUAUAAACGAUGAGCCACGAAAAUCUUACUUCCUCUUGAAGACAGUUUGUAUACCGCUGUUGUCAGUCAAAUUUUAGAAAAUGUUUUCUUUUUGAUAAUAUCAGUGACUUCAAGUAAAGGUGCAGCUAAUGGGGGAGACAGAGGUGGGUUACAAUUAAAAGAGUAAAAACGGAUAAAGGCUCUUUAGGACCUUUAGAAGGUGGAUUUAACAGUAAAUUUUAAACAGAUUUGGUGACAGCUCUAUCUUGUG